GACAGAGGGUGCAAACGUUGUUCGGAAUUACUGGGCGUAAAGCGUGUGUAGGCGGUCUCAUAAGUCGGGUGUGAAAGCCCCGGGCUCAACCCGGGAAGUGCACUCGAAACUGGAAGGCUAGAGUGCCGGAGGCGAGAGUGGAAUUCCUGGUGUAGCGGUGAAAUGCGUAGAUAUCAGGAGGAAUACCGGUGGCGAAAGCGACUCUCUGGACGGUAACUGACGCUGAGGCACGAAAGCGUGGGGAGCAAACAGG
rnacentral:rRNA from 1 species